rnacentral:rRNA from 1 species
AACGAACGCUGGCGGCAGGCUUAACACAUGCAAGUCGAGCGCCCCGCAAGGGGAGCGGCAGACGGGUGAGUAACGCGUGGGAAUUUACCUCCCGGUUCGGAAUAACGCAGAGAAAUUUGCGCUAAUACCGGAUACGGCCCGAGGGCGAAAGAUUUAUCGCCGAGAGAUGAGCCCGCGUCGGAUUAGCUAGUUGGUGUGGUAACGGCGCACCAAGGCGACGAUCCGUAGCUGGUCUGAGAGGAUGAUCAGCCACAUUGGGACUGAGACACGGCCCAAACUCCUACGGGAGGCAGCAGUGAGGAAUAUUGGACAAUGGGCGCAAGCCUGAUCCAGCCAUGCCGCGUGAGUGAUGAAGGCCUUAGGGUUGUAAAGCUCUUUCACUCGGGACGAUAAUGACGGUACCGAGAGAAGAAGCCCCGGCUAACUUCGUGCCAGCCGCCGCGGUAA